rnacentral:rRNA from 1 species
UACGGGGGGAGCAAGCGUUGUUCGGAUUUACUGGGCGUAAAGGGCGCGUAGGCGGCCUCCGCAAGUCAAUUGUGAAAUCUCCGGGCUUAACUCGGAAAGGUCAACUGAUACUGCGGGGCUAGAGUGCGGAAGGGGCAACUGGAAUUCUCGGUGUAGCGGUGAAAUGCGUAGAUAUCGAGAGGAACACCUGCGGCGAAGGCGGGUUGCUGGGCCGACACUGACGCUGAGGCGCGAAAGCCAGGGGAGCGAACGGG